rnacentral:rRNA from 1 species
CUUAACACAUGCAAGUCGAGGGGCAGCGCGAGGUAGCAAUACUUUGGCGGCGACCGGCGAAAGGGUGCGUAACGCGUGAGCAACUUGCCCGUAUCUGGGACAUAAGCGGUGGAAACGUCGUCUAAUUUCCCAUAACAACAGAGGCCGCAUGACUUCUGUUUGAAAGAUCCGUCGGAUACGGAUGGGCUCGCGAGACAUUAGCUAGUCGGCGUGGUAACGGCACACCGAGGCGACGAUGUCUAGGGGUUCUGAGAGGAAGGUCCCCCACACUGGAACUGAGACACGGUCCAGACUCCUACGGGAGGCAGCAGUGAGGAAUAUUGGUCAAUGGGCGCAAGCCUGAACCAGCCAUGCCGCGUGAAGGAAUAAGGCCCUAUGGGUCGUAAACUUCUUUUGUGGUGGAGCAAUAAGGUGUACGUGUACACCGAUGAGAGUACAUCACGAAUAAGCAUCGGCUAACUCCGUGCCAGCAGCCGCGGUAAUACGGAGGAUGCAAGCGUUAUCCGGAUUUAUUGGGUUUAAAGGGUGCGUAGGCUGUGGGGAAAGUCAGGGGUGAAAGCCCGGCGCUUAACGCCGGAACUGCCUUUGAUACUUCUCCGCUGGAAUACGGAUGCCGUGGGAGGAAUGAGUAGUGUAGCGGUGAAAUGCAUAGAUAUUACUCAGAACACCGAUUGCGAAGGCAUCUCACGAAUCCGUCAUUGACGCUGAGGCACGAAAGCGUGGGGAUCAAACAGGAUUAGAUACCCUGGUAGUCCACGCAGUAAACGAUGAUAACUAACCGUCGGCGAUACACAGUCGGUGGCCAAGCGAAAGCGAUAAGUUAUCCACCUGGGGAGUACGUUCGCAAGAAUGAAACUCAAAGGAAUUGACGGGGGCCCGCACAAGCGGAGGAACAUGUGGUUUAAUUCGAUGAUACGCGAGGAACCUUACCCGGGCUCGAACGGCAAGUGAAGGAUAGAGAUUAUGACGCCCUUCGGGCACUUGUCGAGGUGCUGCAUGUUGUCGUCAGCUCGUGUCGUGAGAUGUUGGCUUAAGUGCAUAACGAGCGCACCCUUGUCGCAGUUACAUCAGUAUGUUGGGACUCUGGCGAGAUGCACCGCAAGGGUGAGGAAGCGGGAUUACUUCAAUCACCGCCUACUCGGGCGACACCUGUUUCAAUGCGCUACAGAGCACUGGGAGGAGCGAUUCGAGUCCCAUUCGAUGAUGCACGACUUGACUGAUGCGAUAUCGCUAACAUGCGCGUAUGU